rnacentral:snoRNA from 1 species
GUUGAGGUCUAUUCCAAUGGGGCUUUCUUUGUGACCCCAUCAUUGGAAAUACCAUAGAGUAACUGCCUGGUUUGAUUUACUUGCAGAACUAUUGGUUGGAUCUGUGAGAAAGAACUACAAAGCUAAU